rnacentral:tRNA from 1 species
ACCUCAGUCGGUAGACCAUGAGACUCUUAAUCUCAGAGUUGUGGGUUCAAGCCCCACUUUUGGUG